GCGCGAAGGUCCCAGCAGAGAGGGAAGUACUCCGUCGGUGAGACCUCUCUAACGAUCUUGAUUUAAAAUUCCUUCGCAGAUUGAGACUGGCCAAAUCAAAGAGCCCUUUAGAUUUCUUCUUCUUUAUGGGCUUUGAACCCCUUGGCUAUAGGCUG
rnacentral:snoRNA from 1 species